rnacentral:sRNA from 1 species
UUGCCAUGAUUCACCUCUCUAGCAGGUGGGUUAAGGAAGUACCGGCCGGCCCGCAAUGCCGGCCGGUGCGCUU